rnacentral:tRNA from 1 species
GUCAGUGUGGCUCAGUGGUUGAGCAUCAACCUCAGAACUAGGAGUCAGGGUUCAAUUCCCGGUCAGGGACA